UAUUAUUUUGAAGAGGGAGGAAAAAAAAAAGUAAAAAAAAAGAAAAAAAAGAAAAGGGAGUAGUAUUACUGUUACCUAAUCCUAAUUGCCAAAUAUCAAACCCACGACUCCUUCUUUUUCCUCUGUUUUACAUCUUCCUUUCUUUUCUUCAGUUUUCAACUCCUUGUAACAAGUAUCAAGGAAGCUACAAAAAUUUCCAUCAACUAUCAUCAUAUACCAAUAGUAGUUCGUCCAUCUUCACUACCUCUUAGUUUUGUGGGUUGAUCGAAGAAAAAUAGUUGUUCUUAGGUUUGUUAUAUCGGGUCAAAGAAGAGCGUUUUCGGGUCUUUGAUAGAGCAACUUCACCCUAUUACUUCCCCUAAUCAAGGCUUGAUGGUGACUAGCUUAUAUUGGGGUGAGAGCGUUGAUUUCACCUAGAUGUAGAUUUAUUAAAGUUAAGACUUCCGCUGCAAUAGUUUAGAAUUAUGGUUUGUUAUAGGAGUGUAUUAAUUAAUUACAUUUUCUUUUAGUUGUAAUAGUUAAUAAUUAAUUUAUGUAUUAGUAGUAGUAUCUUUCGCCUUGCUGUUAUUAAAUGUUUAUAACAGCGGCAUAACAGCUCUUGAAUUGUCCAUGCUUUGUACUCUAAUAUGUUUUCUAAAGAAAGUGGAAAAUCAAAGUUGUUAUAUCAUGAUAAACACAAGUUCUCAAGUUGAUAACCAUACAAUUCCACAUGUUCUUUUAACAUAAAACAUACUCUAGUCAUAAAGGUUUGCUACAAGAAAAUUCAUAUACUAAUACUUUAGUUCAAAAGAAAUCACAUGAUUAUAACAUAUUUAUACUAUUACCAAAAUAUAAUAACAUACUCUAGUUUCAAAGUAUUAUGAGAAUCAUACUUUUAUAAUAGUGAUUACUAACUCAGAAAUUCAUAAUAUUAGUCUAUAAAUUAUUUAUUACAUACAUUACCACAUAAUCAUAUAAUCACACAGAUAGCCGUUUUGCAACGGGAAAUAGGGUACGAUCAACAUCGAAAUUACCUCGAGUAGCACAGAUACGAAUAAUAAAGUCACCCCUAGAAAGCCCCUUCUACAAAAGCCCCUUCUACAAAAGCCCCGUCUACGAUAGUAAGUAAAUAAACUAAAUUAGUUACCUAUAUAUAAUACCCAACGUAGUUAAAAUUUGUUAAAUUAAAGGGAGUAGCUACUAUACUCUAAAAGUUUAGAAGAAUCAAGUACUAAAAGUAGUAUAAGGGUUUGGUUUUUAAAAAAACUACAAAAGAAAAUGAUAAAUGAUAAUAAAUAAAUAAAAGAAAAAAAAAA